AAGACUAAGCCAUGCAUGCCUCCGAAUAAGAGGAAGCAAUUCUCUCUGAAUCUGCGAACGGMUCCGCAAACCAGUUGUAAACUAAAGCAAGCAAGCCGGCCGGUUCGGGACCUUCACGGGUAACGGGCCAGCUGGCAACACGGAUAACCCUGGUAAUUCUGAGGCUAAUACGAGAACGCAAUCCCUGGCUCGACCGGUUUAGCCACUUCAGUGUGGCGGCUGGGAGGCUGGGAAGCGUGCGAMCUAUUAUACACGAGAUACAAAAAAAACCAGGAAAGGACGCACGCUUGGACCGCGCCAAAAAAAGGAUCGGGCGGAAGCACUCUCCCCGGAGUGCAUAAACCCGGCCCUAGCGGCUCUUGCGAUGUGCUUCUGACCUAUCAACUAGACGGCAGCGUAAUGGACAUGCUAUGGUUACAACGGGUACAGAGGAUUAGGGUUCGAUCCUGGAGAGUGGGCCUGAGAGAUUGCUCAUACUUCUAAGGAAGGCAGCAGGCGCGCAACGUUCCCAUUGGGCAAUGCCCGAGGGCGUUAGGGGACAUAUGAAUGCCUGCCAAAUUGGUGGGCAAUUCAAAUGGGGUUGUUCUAAACAGCCUU
rnacentral:rRNA from 1 species